rnacentral:rRNA from 1 species
CAAUAGCGUAUAUUAAAGUUGUUGCAGUUAAAAAGCUCGUAGUUGGAUUUCGGGGCAGCCUGGCUGGUCCGCCGCAAGGCGAGUACUGGUCAGCCGCCCUUCCUCUCGAAAGCCCCGACUGCUCUUUAUUGCAGUGGUCGGGUAGUUCGGGACGUUUACUUUGAAAAAAUUAGAGUGUUCAAGGCAGGCCUACGCCUGAAUACAUUAGCAUGGAAUAAUGGAAGAGGACCUCGGUCCUAUUUUGUUGGUUUCCAGGACCGAAGUAAUGAUUAAGAGGGACAGUUGGGGGCAUUCGUAUUUAAUUGUCAGAGGUGAAAUUCUCGGAUUUAUGAAAGACGAACAACUGCGAAAGCAUUUGCCAAGGAUGCUUUCAUUAA